rnacentral:lncRNA from 1 species
AAUAAUACAAAUAGAGAAGAGAAGGGGCUUCAAGACAGCAGACGAGAGGCAUCUGACAUUUGCCUCCUCCACAAAGAACCAAAAUAGCAUGUAGAUAAUCACACUUUGAAUAGAUCACCUAAGAGAGAACACUGGAAUGGAAUAGAGAAGUGACAGGAAAUACCUGAGGCAUGGAAGGAGAAGGAAGUCUGGCAGCCAGCUCAGCUGGGUGCCCAAAGAGGCUCUCCAGUGUAGGAAAAGGGUGAGGGAUCCCCAGGUAUCCACAUUCCCACUGCAAACUCCUGCAACAUUAGCCACAGGACAGAACCCUCAGACUAGCUAGCAUAAGGAGCUGCCUAGACAUAGCACGUUAGCAUUGCUCUAGAGAGGGAGCUCAUGCCGAGUACCACACACAGUCCCUGAAAUCCAAGCUGUGCAGCACAGCACCAUUUCAAAAUCCAGCCCCACCAGACUAGGCCUUCUGCUCUAGGGCUCAACAGCCCCUGCAUCUCCACAUCCCUGAAGCUGCACUGAUAUUCCCCUGCAUUCACCAGAAUGACUGCAGUGGCAUAGUAUCAGUUGGACUCAGUGGAAUGACAGGGUCGCCAACACUCUAGCACACACAGUAUCCUGCACCCCAAGGAUAGGGCACUGUAGCACACAAGGGAGGCUGCCCCCAGGACAAAGGGAGCCAAAGUGCUGCAAGUUCCCCAGAGCCUGAAACCUGCCUGCCUAAAGCUACUGCCAUUGAUAAAAACCCUGCCUCCAUCAGCAGCAGGGCCACAGCACAACUGCGUGGCUUUCCAGUGUGCCACACUGCUGCUGCCACCAGGGACCCAAGCGUGCGCCACUGGCAGCAACUCUCUGCCCCUCAGCAGCACAGCGGCCAUGCACUUGCACACACUCUGAGAACUAUUUCUGCUGUUGCCACCAAUGCCAGAGGUUGAAGUUUGUCCUCCCUAGAGCCUACGAGUUGCCUACCUGCAGCUGUGAGCACUGACAGCAACCCCAUCCCCACCAGCAAAAGGACAACAGUGCACUAGUGUGUGCCCUGAGGAUGGGCUCUCUCCACUCACCACAAUGCAGCUGCCACCAUCCAAGUGCUCUGCCAGGAAACCUAAGGGUCACCCCGAUCUGUCCACCACAAACUGCACCCAUGCAUACCACAGGACAGACUGAGGACAGGCUAUUUCCAAACACACCAUCCAAGGGCGUGGGGAUCAGCCCAACCCAUCCACCACUGCUGGCAUCUGUGCACUCCUCCUAGGGGCCUGAAGAUGGGCUCACUUAGCCUGCCACUAACAUCACAGCUGGUACUCGCUGGCACGUGCCCUGAGGGCCUGGGAACUGGCCCACCCAGCCCAACACAGCCAUUUCCAAAACAAGUGUGUGCCACCUGGAAACUCAAAAGUUGUCUUACCACCACUACAGACAUUGCUCAUGAUACACACACUGCCCAGGGGCACAACAACCCACCCGCCUGGCCCACCAAUGCAACUACCAGCACCCAACAAAGUUACCCAGAAGCCCAAGAAUAGGCUACUCGGACCUGUUAAUACCUGUACCCGUGUAUGGACACCCAGAGACCCAAGGACAGGCACACUCAGCUCACUAUUCCCACUACUGGGCCCUGAG